UGAAAUCAGCCUAGAGAAAAUCAAACUGGCUUCUAAUAUUGAUUCUUGCAUUUCACAUCUCAUCUUCAGAAGCUUCUCAUGAUGAGGCUCUGAGGAUCCUGGUUGUGGGAGUCAGAGGUCAGUCCAGAUUCAGUGCUGCAGAUCUUCUGUCAGGAAGGAAAGACGGAGGACAGGAGGACAGAGAGAUUGUAAAGACUCCAGUAAUUACAGACGGGGCUCGUAGAAUGAUGCUGGUCACUGGACCAAACCUCUGUGAGGAGGACACAGAGAGACAGACCUUCACAACAGCGCUGUUUCUCUCGUCUCCUGGACCUCACGCCGUUCUAAUGGUCCUGAAUCUGGAAGAUCAACAAUCACAACAGUGUGAUAUUGAGAAACGAGCCCAGGAGCUGCUGGGAGCAGAAGUCCUGCAGUACUGCAUUGUUCUUCUGCUCCAAAAUCACCAGGAACCUUUGACAGGAGCCUCCAGAGGGAUUGCUGGAGAAAUGAUCAACGCAUGUGGAGGAAGAUUUCACAUCAUAAGAGACUCUGAACCAAAACCUGCUCAAAGAACAACUCUUAUAACAGAAAUACACAAG
ensembl:lncRNA